rnacentral:rRNA from 1 species
ACUAACAAGGAUUCCCCUAGUAACUGCGAGUGAAGCGGGAAAAGCUCAAAUUUAAAAUCUGGCGCAAGCCCGAGUUGUAGUCUGUAGAAGCGUUUUCGGUCGUUGCACUCGGACAAGUCCCUUGGAACAGGGCGUCAUAGAGGGUGAGAAUCCCGUCCUUGCCGAGCCAGCCACGUCUUUGCGAUACGCCUUCCAAGAGUCGAGUUGUUUGGGAAUGCAGCUCAAAACGGGUGGUAAAUUCCAUCUAAAGCUAAAUAUUGGCGAGAGACCGAUAGCGAACAAGUACCGUGAGGGAAAGAUGAAAAGGACUUUGGAAAGAGAGUUAAACAGUACGUGAAAUUGCUGAAAGGGAAGCGCUUGAAGUCAGUCGCGUUGGCAGGGACUCAGCCUUAACCGGUGCACUUCCCUGUGGACGGGCCAACAUCGAUUUCGGCCGCGGAAUAAGGACGUGAGGAACGUGGCAGCUCCGGCUGUGUUAUAGCCUUGCGUCGCACGCCGCGGAUGGGAUCGAGGACCGCGGCUUCGUGCCUAGGAUGUUGGCGUAAUGGCUUUAAGCGACCCGUCUUGAAACACGGACCAAGGAGUCUAACAUGUCUGCGAGUGUUUGGGUGUCAAACCCGUGCGCGCAAUGAAAGUAAACGUAGGUGGGAGGCCUCGGCCGCACCAUCGACCGAUCCGGAUCUCUUGGGAUGGAUUUGAGUAAGAGCAUACAUGUUGGGACCCGAAAGAUGGUGAACUAUGCCUGAAUAGGGUGAAGCCAGAGGAAACUCUGGUGGAGGCUCGUAGCGAUUCUGACGUGCAAAUCGAUCGUCAAAUUUGGGUAUA